AUUCUGGCAACUGAACGUUGGCAGUAAACGCAGCUUAGUUGUCCCAGAGGACUCACAAUGGGAAGUGCUUGUUGUAGUUGUUGCCUCAGAGCGUGUUCUGCAGGGGAUGAAACAGUGGAUCCCGGGGUGCCAAGGGAAUCCACCGUCUGCCACCGCAAGCAUAAGAAGCGAAUCCUCCAUCGCUGAUCACGAUGAGGACUUGGUGCAGGAAACUUCAUCUGAAGAUGUCCCAGGCGUUCACAUGGUGGACAAAGACACACAGACAGACAGUACGUAUUCUGGAAUCACCCCUAUGCUGAGGAAAAAUUCUAGUGUUGACAAAGGUGACACUUUCUUGCCUCAUUUUUUCUGGAGAGCCACUCUGGUUUGAACUUCCUGCCAGAAAUGUGGUUCAAGCACUUUUGUCUUGACCAGUGAAGAACCUGGUCAAGAAAUGUGACCGUUGACUCUGGUGCCUGGAAGGAACAGUGUCAUUUGGAUAGAAGAGGGUGUUGUGCAUCAGGGUUGGGAGGUAUGGAGGAAUGAGUCAAUGUGGAGUGAUUGUGAAUGUCUCUGCGAGUUUGUGUGCUUUUCCCCAGAAAAUA
rnacentral:sRNA from 1 species